GGAUUGUGGCUCAGUGGUAGAGUGCUCGCCUGGCAUGUGUGAGGCCCUGGGUUCGAUCCUUAGCACCA
rnacentral:tRNA from 1 species